rnacentral:piRNA from 1 species
GGGCUUGCUAUAAUUUGUUGACUAACAG